AGAGGAGUAGCUCAGUGGUAGAGUGUGUGCUUCACAUGCAUGAGGUCCUGGGUUCAAUCCCCAGCACCUCUA
rnacentral:tRNA from 1 species